UUGCCCGGACGGUUGCGCGCGAAAGCGUGAGGAAAGUCCGAGCAGCACAGAGCAGGAUAACGGCUAACGGCCGCCGAGGGCGACCUCCGGGACAGUGCAACAGAAAUAAACCGCCUGCUUUUUGCAGGCAAGGGUGGAAAGGCGAGGUAAGAGCUCACCGAGGGGGUGGUAACAUCCCCUGCCAUGUAAACCCUAUCCGCUGCAACGCCGACUGGGGAGUUGUUUGCUCGACACAUAACCCCGAAGGGCGGCUUGAGCGCGGUGGUAACACUGCGUCGAGAUAGAUAACCGUCCACGACAGAACUCGGCUUACAGGGCAACUUGU
rnacentral:RNase_P_RNA from 1 species